rnacentral:rRNA from 1 species
GAUGAACGCUAGCGAUAGGCCUAACACAUGCAAGUCGAGGGGCAUCACAUGAGGCAGCAAUGCCGAUGGUGGCGACCGGCGCACGGGUGAGUAACACGUAUGCAACCUGCCUUCAACAAGGGGAUAACCCGUUGAAAAACGGACUAAUACCCUAUAAUACAGGGGUCCCGCAUGGGGAUAUUUGUUAAAGAUUGAUCGGUUGAAGAUGGGCAUGCGUUCCAUUAGCUGGUUGGUGAGGUAACGGCUCACCAAGGCAACGAUGGAUAGGGGAACUGAGAGGUUUAUCCCCCACACUGGUACUGAGACAUGGACCAGACUCCUACGGGAGGCAGCAGUGAGGAAUAUUGGUCAAUGGACGCAAGUCUGAACCAGCCACGUCGCGUGAAGGAAGACGGCCCUACGGGUUGUAAACUUCUUUUGUAAGGGAAUAAAGUGUAGUACGCGUACUAUUUUGCAUGUACCUUACGAAUAAGGAUCGGCUAACUCCGUGCCAGCAGCCGCGGUAA